ensembl:lncRNA
GUCGCGGGCCCGCCGGCGAAGAGGGCGGAAUAGGGAGUGAAGCAAGGGGGCGGCAACCGACUGGGCGCUCGGCCUUGGGUCCCGGCCCAGAAAAGAGAACGCGGAAGGGACCUGGUCCUGGGGCCGGUACUAGGCCAGAGAGGGAAGAGGGGAGAAAAACCCCGCGCACUGGGCCAGCCCAUGCCCCUCGGGGUCAGGAGAAAUCUGUUUGGGUGCGACCGUGUGUUUGAGAGUGAAACUCCCGAGUGUUUGUAUCUUUGUUUCUCAGGGUUGUCGUGAGGUUCAAGUGAGAGUGUAUAUGAAAACUGUAAAUUGUGAAAUGCUCAGAAGCAAAUUUAAGACCCUGGAGAAGGAAAUGGCAACCCACUCCAGUAUUCUUGCCUGGAGAUUCUCAUGGAUGGAGGAGCCAGUCCGUGGGUUCGCAAAGAGUCGGACACGACUGAGCGACUUCACUUCACUCCCAGUUUGUACUUCUGUACCCCGAGAUUGGUAACAAAAUUUGGACAAGAUGGUUGGAUGGCAUCACCGACUCAAUGGUCAUGAAUUUGAACAAGCUCUGUGACAUGGUGAAGGACGGGGAAGCCUGGAUUGCUGUAGUUCACAGGGGUCACAAAGAGUCGGAUACAACUGAGCGACUGAACAACAAAAAUAACAACAAACUUUGAGUGGCACUGUUGUAGUUAAAAUUUGUUUCUUUUAUUUAAGUGAUAAGCAUAUGAGGUACUCUGUGAGCACAGAGGAUGGCCUUGUUUGUGUUUUUAUUUAUUUGGCUGUGUUGGGUCUUGUUUGCAGCACUUGGGAUCUUCAUUGCAUCAUAGGGGAUCGUUCACUCUGGGCAUGAACUCUCUAGUUGUGGCUUAUGGGCUAAGCUGCUCUGUGCCAUGUAGGAUCUUAGUUCCUCAACCAGGCAUCAAACCUGUGUCCCCUGUAUUGCAAGGUGCAUUCUUAACCACUAGACUACCAGGAAAGUCCCCAAAUUUGUUUCUAUACAUCUGUAUUUAGGUGAUAUUAGGACCGUGGGCCAUAAAGUAUCACAGGAGAUACCAUGGAACCAUAAAGACUUUUACAUGGGAGUGACAUGGUCAGAUCUGUAUUUAGGAGUGGUAUGGAGAAAAGGUUUUAUGGAUGUUAAAACUGCAGAGAGGCCAACUUGAAGGAAACAGAAGUGCUCUGAGAAAGAUGGCAAGGUGCUAGACUAAAUCACUGGUGCUGGAGAUGGAGAGGAAAGGACAGAUUUAAAAGAUAGUCAUCGGGGCUUCCCUGGUGGCUCAGAGGUAAAGAAUCCACCUGCCAAUGCAGGAGCCAUGGGUUCUAUCACUGACCCACAUGCUGCAGGGCGACUAACCUUGCUCUGCAACUACUGAGCCCGUGUUGAAGAGCCUAGGAGCCACAACUACUGAAGCCGCAGGGCCCUAGAGGCUGUGCUCUACAAGAGAAGCCUCUGCAGGAAGCCUACACACAGCAACUAGAGCAUAGCCCCUGUUCGCUGCAACUAGAGAAAAGUCCACACAGCAAUGAAGACCCAGCAUAGUGAAAACUCCAAUACAUAGAGAAUUAUUUUUCAAAAAAAACUUAAAAAAAUCAUCAUUGGGUAAUAUGAAUAGGAUUUGAUGAUUGGCUAAAGGGUUGGGCGAAGAGAAGAGUUUAGAGUAAUUCUCAGGCUUCUGGCUUGGGUGACUGAGUGGAUACAAAGGAGCAUUGUCAUCAGAUAGGCACCAUCUGCAGUCUUUUUCCUAAGUUAAGAAAGUUACGAAAACCAAAAAUUUUCAUAUCUCUUUUGACUACAAAACCUAAU